ACCAGACUCCUACGGGAGGCAGCAGUAGGGAAUAUUGCUCAAUGGGGGAAACCCUGAAGCAGCAACGCCGCGUGAAGGAAGAAGGCUUUCGGGUUGUAAACUUCUUUUAAGAGGGAAGAGCAGAAGACGGUACCUCUUGAAUAAGCCACGACUAACUACGUGCCAGCAGCCGCGGUAAUACGUAGGUGGCAAGCGUUAUCCGGAUUUACUGGGUGUAAAGGGCGUGUAGGCGGGAGUGCAAGUCAGAUGUGAAAACCACGGGCUCAACCUGUGGCCUGCAUUUGAAACUGUACUUCUUGAGUACUGGAGAGGCAGACGGAAUUCCUAGUGUAGCGGUGAAAUGCGUAGAUAUUAGGAGGAACACCAGUGGCGAAGGCGGUCUGCUGGACAGCAACUGACGCUGAGGCGCGAAAGCGUGGGGAGCAAACAGGAUUAGAUACCCCGGUACAC
rnacentral:rRNA from 1 species